rnacentral:ncRNA from 2 species
GUUCUCAAGGAGCGCUGCAGUGCCAUCCCCCUGCGGGCUGGCGUCAGGCUUGAGACACCGGGCGUCCACCGCCCCGCCGGCCUGGCCGGCCCCAACGGCGCUCACCAGUU